rnacentral:tRNA from 1 species
UUUUAUUUACUUUAAAUUUGAAAAGGCACACUCAAAAUCAUAAAAAACAUCAAAUUAAAAUAAAAA